UCUUAGACCGGAGUCGCGACACGGCCGC
rnacentral:sRNA from 1 species